ACUCAUGACUAGGCACUAAAGCACUGAAACGGGAUUCUGGAACACAGAACCUCAUGGAGGAACCAGAUUUCCAGGAGAUUGGAGCAAAGGGCGGGGAGUGGCAAGGAGUGUCUAGACCCAGCCAAUCUGCUGAUAGUCCUCUGCAAAUAAUCGUGGUUGGAUUUUGAGGCAGCUCCAGAAGGAAGUGACUUCAAAAUGGGCUUCCCUGGUGGCGCAGUGGUUGAGAGUCUGCCUGCCAAUGCGUGGGACGCGGGUUCGAGCCCUGGUCUGGGAAGAUCCCACAUGCCGCGGAGCAACUCGGCCCGUGAGCCACAAUUGCUGAGCCUGCGCGUCUGGAGCCUGUGCUCGGCAACGAGAGGCUGCAAUAGUGAGAGGCCCGCGCACUGCGAUGAAGAGUGGCCCCCGCACCGCGAUGAAGAGUGGCCCCGGCUUGCCACAACUAGAGAAAGCCCUCGCACAGAAACGAAGACCCAACACAGCCAUACAUACAUACAUACAUACAUACAUACAUAA